AGUUAAGACGAACUCUGAUUUUCGCUGAUUGUUCACUGCAUUAUUCUCUGACUUGAUUGUAUCUACCGAUACACUUAUAUUUUAUACAAUAUACGUAGAGUUAAUUGGAAAGUUCUACGAGAUUUUAUUGAGAAUCACUCUCUACCGCCGAGUUUUAAAAUCUGUCAUCCCUUAGAAAUUUCACGCUACUGGAUCUUUGAAUUCGGGCGCUUCCGACAGAUUUAGAAGGAAGGAAGAAUCUCAAAGUAGUCUCGUAAAGAUCCUCUAAAGAUCUCGUAAAACAGAACCUGACAUAUAAAUAAAGUUAUUUAAAAAUUCCGAUAAAGUAUAACAGUUUCUUAUUCCAAAAAGAAUGAAAUGAUGGGAUGAAAAAAAUUAUAUGAAAAUAAGAAAAUUUAUAUACGUAAUAUAAAAGAGACGAAACUUACGAAACUAACGAUCAGGCGAGGAUGUUGAAAAUUCCAGUGGAGAUAACGCGACGUGCUGGACUUGGCCUUGCACGCUUGUUCGACUCUUCGAGUGCACACGCAUAAUAUUCUACGUGCAAUAUUAUUUAUGAUGCUAUGGCCCGGGAACACCUGUUGAAUAGGAACACGAAUAUAGGGCGUCCAUAUAAUUUCGUCAUAUGAAAACUUGCUGGUAUCCAAGAGGGGGUCACAUGACUUCGUCAUAUAAGGUGCCAAAUAGGGUCUCGGCAGAGGGAUUAAACAAUUCUGGAUGGUUAGCACUGUGGUGUCGAUGGUUGAGGGUAUAUAAAAAUGUUAUUAUUUUUAAAGGUCUUAUAGAGUCGCGUACGCGUAUGGGAAAAACGAUGGAACACCCAUGGACCCCAUACAGCACAUAAACAUUGAAUAAACAUCUCAGAAACAUUGCAAUACAAUUUUGCAAUGUUGCAUCAACGUUAUAAAAUAUAGAUUCAACGUUGAAAAUAAAUUACAGAAACGUCUAAUGUCCGCUGAAUUGCAAUGUCUUGUAAAUGUAGCAAUUCAA